UUUUAAUCUCAAAGUACUCAAAUGUCUCAAAAUACUCCAAAAACAAGAAUUGUUGAAAUACAAUUUAACAAACGAAUACAUAAAAUAUAUUCAAAACUAACUAUCUAUGAAUCCUCUGUUGUUCCAGAUGGAUGUUGGGACAAGAUCCACGACACCUCAAAAUAACUAACUAAAAGAUGAAAGUAGAGUCCUCUAGAAUGCAAGGAGGCUCACCAAAGCUAAUUGGAAGUGCAAGUGAUCUCAACGAAGCGCCUGUUGAUGAUCCUGAAUACCUGUAUAUUCAUUAUAAAAAGAUGCAGGUCGAAUGAUAUUAGUACAUUGAAUGUAUGAGUAUGUAAUAUCGCGAAAGCAAAAUACCUGAAUGAAAGGACUACAAUAGAUAUAAAUAUAUACUCAACUGUAAGUAAAUAAAUAAAAGAGUGAAAAUAUUUAAACUUUACAAAUACUUACUCAACUCUGAACUCAACAUAUUAAGUGAUAUGAUAAAAAUACACUUUUAACUCUAUCUAGGAGAUUCUCUAACUGAUAACCAUCACUAUAAGCAAUGCAAUGGUACAACGUCUCGCUCAUGCUGCUAGAACUGUCAUAUACCUUGCGGGGAUAUAGAACAUCUCAGCUAAGUGGAUCCACUAAGGCUCUGCUUGAAAGCAAUAAGGAGUCGUCUAAAAAGUACGAUCUUUUACCCAUGUUGGCUACAUGGUUUAUGAGGAAUGUGAGUUGUCUGAACUCAUCCCCAUAUCAGUGCUCAAUACUACUCCCAAUAAAUAUAUACUCAUGCUAAAAUGUAUAAAACAUAUUCUUUCUCAAUUUUGAGGUAAUUUCUCAAAAUAUCCUCUUUAAAGAGGUAAUGCUCUGAAAUAUCUCUAAACUCGUUAACUCAUUUAGAAAUCAAAAUAUCUUUUUUCUCAAUGUAAAAAAGUGAUACAUUUGGGAAUACUUAGUUCCCUUAUACUCUUACUCAAAUCAUGUUUAAAUCUCUUUCUCAAAACUCAUCUUUCCUUUCUCCGAAAAUCAGUUUAAGAUAAAAAUAUUUACUUGAAAAGAUUCUCAAAAAUUAUAACUCAAAAUAGGGUUCAUGCUGAAAUAUAAACAUGAACACCUCAACUCAAGGAUCUCAAUAACAAUAUAGAAAACUCAAUACUAAGAAAUCCAAAACUCACAACUCAAUGAUACUACUCAUCUCAAGAAUACUCAAAAUUCAUGAUAAAAUCCUAGAUUACUCUGUUACUGAAUUUAGAUAGAUGUAAGGCGUGAGGACGAACUCAGUUUGCCACUAUGAUAGCCUUACAUACUUGGAAGAACAAAGUUCUUGGUAAAAUCGGUGAAAACUCGAAGAAUGCUUAAAACAUUAGAUUUCUCCUCUUGGAUCAUUGCUCUAAGACUUGGAAGCGCGUUAAUGAACGUAAAAGGAUUGAUUAACACUGUUCAAACCCUUAACUAGGUGUAAAAAUAUCGUGGUUUAGACUUAGAAGAGGUGGGAAAAGACUAAACUAUCCCUCUUUAAAACUAACGAAAACCUUCCACAUGUCCAUCUACGGUAUCUACGGACCGUAGAUCCCAUCUGUGGAAUUUAUAUUGAAUUUUAAGGCUCAAAAUUUUAUUCUAUGAAUCCAAUCUACAUACUACAUGUAAACCUCCUUAAAAUAUGUGAUUCCAAUAGUACUUGGGGAUCACAAGCCUAUAGCAUUUUGUGUUUUGUUAAUCCUCAUGGUAAAAUUCAUGAUUUUAAUGUUACUUAUAAGAUAAUGUUGAAUUCUCAUACAAAUAAUCGAGUCCUGAAUAUGGAGAAAAUCCUAUUGGGAGCGCCAUCCCCGAAAGGGCCCUGCAGUGCGUGAUCUGGAUUUAGUCGGAACUCCAAUGUGGGCUCCGGACGGAAAACCAAAAAGACUUUUUCAAUAGGAGCUAAAUCCAAGUGAUGUUGGAUUUUAUAGGCUUAUAUACCUAAGAAAUAUGCAACAAAGUAUUUUCUUCAAAUCCAAAGAGAGGACAUGGGCUUUUAUGAUGCAUAAAGAGACUAUGAAAGUUUAGAUAUUGUUAUUGUAAAAGAAAUAAAUUUUUUUUACACAAAGGGUUGGCAUAAAUUUGUGAAAGCUAAAGGUUUAAGAGCAAAUGAUACAAUUAUUUUCACAAAUAAUUGUACCUUUUGCUCUUAAACCUCCGUCUUUCACAAACUUAUGCCAACCCUUUUGGAAAAUAAUUUUUUUGAUUUCUUUUGCAAUAACAAUACCCGAACUUCCAUAAUCUGCUUGAUAUAUCAUAAAAUCUCACGUUCACUUUGGAUUUAAGAAAAAUAAAUACGUUAUUGCAUAUUUCUUAGGUAAAUACAAGACUAGAAAGUCCAACAUCAUCCAUCAUUAUCCUAAGUAACAUUGAAAUCAUGAAUUUUACCAAAAAAAUUAACAAAAACACAAGAUACUAUAGGCUUUUGAUCCCUAAGUAAUAUUUUAAUAUCACAUUUUAAAAAGGGUUACAUAUAGUAUAUAGAUAUCCUCGUGGUGGUAACCUGACAGUAUACAAAUCAUUACACUAAUGGUGUAUAUAAUUUAAACUCUUACGAAUUUAUAUUUUUUGUGAAUCGUUGUAUGUAAAUAUCUCUGGUAUGACAUGCAACAACAACAACAUACAUAUCUAGUGUAAUCCCACAAGUGACAUAUAGGGAGAGUAGUGUCUACACAUACCUUAGGACAAUGACCAUUAUGUUGGCCUACAACACCUUUGAGUCUUCAUCUAGAAUUGCAAGUUUUUUUCUCACAUGCAUGAAUCUUGUAUAUUUUGGGCAAUAGAUGAUUGCUCGCUCUUAAAAUGCAAUCACCAACUGUUACGUAUGUGAUUGUACUUGAUAUUAAGGUCAUUUCGUCUUUUAUGUUGCAU
rnacentral:lncRNA from 1 species